GUCAAAGCGAAGUUAUGAAGCACUUGAAGAAAAAUACAACAAACUUCUGCAAAACGUGGAGAAAAAUAAUCAACAGCUAGAAAGGAUCACAUCAGGAUUAAGACGUUUGUGCAGCGAUUUAACCGACAUGUCUAAAGAGGGGAAGACGUACACACCUGUUGAGAGUCCAACAAAAGAUAAAGAUGAACACCCUCUCAAGCUUCAAGCCAAACUAGCUCGGGCUGAAACAACAGCCGACAGUAUCCUGUACGUUGUAGAAUAUGAAUCACCAUCAGAACCCUUCGUGCUGUGGAAGCAUCCAUCUACCAUGCGUUAUAUGGAAGUCA